UGAGUGAGUGAGUGUGUGUGUGUGUGUGUGUGUGUGUGUGUUUUGUAAAAUCUGUAAAUAGCACAUGACCAAAUGAACAUAUUGUAUAGAACUAUUUUUAUUUGAAUGUGGAACUAACCACCAUCAUCGUUACUAUGAUCAAUGUUUGUGCAUGUUCAAGAUCGGUCUUACCAACAGUGUAUAAAUCAUUAACAGUCCUAACUGUGGUAUUUUCCUCCAAUGCCUUCCAACAUCCAUCAACUAACCAAUACUGGAGUAACCGCUUCCUAAACCAUUUUGCAGAAAUGUAAGGGUGUUCGGUUGCGUGCAUGUGCGUUUUUAGCAACACAUCUACCAACCCUCUGCAUGAUUGAUGUUGGGGAAAGAGAAAAGUAGAAAAAAGUUCCCAACUCAUUGUGUGUUAUGUGGAGGAAAUGUGGAUUACCAAUGGGGUUUUUAGCUU